UAUAAAUCCUUUCUCUUGUUAUAGCCAAAUUUAUAUUAUUUUGAUAAUUAUAAUAAAAUAAUUAUUUAUCUCGUAAUCUAAUUUCAAAAUUUAAACAUUUGUUGGAGAUGAUAAUUAUCAUGAAUGCUUUAAUGCUUUACACUUGCAUAUUUUCUAAUUUUAAGCAAAAAUGUGGAGGACAAAGUAAAAUGAGAAUGAUAUAUUUGUAAAUUGGAAUUAAAAUGGGAUAAUCACAUAAUUAAUAACAAUAAAUAAACAUGACUACAAUAGUCACAACAUACCAAACCCACCCACUUAACUUAUUUCUCUAGAAAGCAAAGCCAACCCAACCCAAUUCAACUUCUUUCAUAUCAAAAACCAACUUGGAAUUUUAUGACAGGAAUGAAAGCUAUGUGAUUUGCGUCCUAUAUAUACAGACUGACCCGGCAUCAUUAAUGGAGAAUAGCCUAAAUAAUAACUCAUCUUCCAUGGAUGUAUCAAUACUACACACCAACGGCCUGUGCAACAGAUUUUGUGGUGUUCGAGUUCCCUUUUCCAUUUAAUGCUGACUUGUCCCUCACAGGUUUAUGAGAAUCUGGUGUCCCUUUAGCUGCAAUUCUGCCAUGCCUCGUGGCUUGAGCCCCAGUACCUCCCCCUCCACUGUUAGGCAGAGACAACCUCUUCUUUGCCUGUUUAUCCGAUUGUAUUGACCUCUCUUUUGGAUUGCUGCGAGAUCUUUGAGCAAUGCCAGGUCUUGAGUUGGCCUCUUCAGCCGCAUCUUCAAGAACUGGCUUCGCCUUUGGCUUAGCAAAAAGUGUGUUUGAUGCCUCUAGCUUGCUAGGAGAAGUACCACUGCCAUCAGAAUUGGAUGGACCAGUUUUCUGACUUGAAAAGUUUGAUUGCAGACUAGAUACAAAUGGUUUUUUGCCAGAAGACUUUAACUGGGGUUUGGUGCCAUUCUUGCCAUCAGCUGUUCCAUUUUCACGAAUCAUCACCCCAUCUUUCAGAUUUAUGUCAAGAAAACGAUUCUCCCAUGCACGGACAGCCAUCCAUCUCUCCAACCAGUUCCAUCCCCAACUACUUUUAUCUGGUACAAACCCAGCAGAAGCGGCCUGCUGUCUUGAUCCUGCCUGCCACUGAUGAGCCAAAGCAUAUGCCAUGGCUCUCUCACGCUUAGCUGCUGCCUCCUGCCUCUUUAGCAAUUUGGCUUGAAUUUGUUCAACUGAUCCUACACUGUCACACCACCCGUCCUCUAUUUCUCGAACCCAAGCCUCAUUUGCAAGUUGUUGCUGAAGUUUUUGUUGAGCUGUUUCACUUUCUAAUGCUAAGCGAACACGCCUUGCUCGGACUCGAGCCUGAACUCUCACUAAAGCUUGCAUGCAUCUAAGAGUUAUUGCAGCCUGCUUUCUCACAGCAUGGCCCCUUACAAGUGCUUGUAGUCUUACCAACCCCUUUAAAGCACGUAGAGCUCUUCUAGCCAGAAAUCCUCGAAAAGCUGUUUGGAUGCGCGUGGCAGCCCAUUCUUCUCUUAAUACUUGUUGAUUCUGAGGUACAUCCUGUACUUGAAAUGAAGCAGAAGGGGAUUCAGAAGCAUCUGGGACAGAAAGGAUGUUGGCAUCACCAACGGGUGCAGCAGCAUUAUCAUUAAACUCCUCUUGAAGUUUAUCAGCAUCAAUUUCAAUUGAAUGCUUUCUCCUAGGUCGGAACUUACUAGAUGCUGUCCUGUUGUCAUCCUUCUCUGAAGAUUGUGACUUUUCUGAUCUCUUUAAACCAACCAAUGCUUUAAUCCAUUUCCCAGAGACACCCAUAGUAGUGUCACUGUAGCUGAAACAAAUAUAGACCUUCUAAAUGAAAUCUCCAAAAUCAAAGACCUGUGAGCACCACUUUGAAAUAGUUACUUCAAUAACCAAGUUUGGACCGAAAACACCAAGCCAAACAGUGAAUCAACCUCCCCAUUCCUUGGACCUUGAAAACAUAACAUGACACAUGAAACUCAUAAUCUCUCAUCAACAGAAGAAAGGAAACUGACAAAAGAACGCACAUACCAAGAGGAAACAAGAAUAAAUUCACCAACCAAAAAAAUCAUAUCAAUAGCAAAUAGCAAUCAUUAACUCCCUCAUUGCAACCAACAGCAAUGAUUAUCUCAUAUCAACAACAGACGAGAUCUAAAUACCCAAAUUAUUUUGUCAAAUUGGAAUACCUCCAAAAUUCUCAACGUAGCAUUCUCAUUAGAGAGAGACAUAGCUAAUUAUCAUCCGUAUCUAACCUUAGAUAUAUCGAAACCCUAACUCCAUAAACUAAACAUCCAAACCAACAUAAAAAUCAAGCUUUAGCAACUAAAAUCCCUCAAAAUUUAAAGUUUCGGCAGCAUAAAAGAGUGAUAAAUGCGGACAAAAUCAAUCAAUUUUGGGUGAAUUGCAACGAAAAAAGACGCAAAAUAAGAAAUUAAACACCCAAACAAUGCAGAUCCAGAGAUCACCAGCUCCAAGAACAUAAUUCACCUCAAUCUCAACCACUCAGCUUGUGAAGAAGAAAGCAAGUACACAGAAUCAAGUAUCAACACCAAUAAGAACAGAGGGACAUAUCUUUCGGGCCAUUGAAAUAUCAAUUAGUCAACAAAAAGUCAAACCUCACUCACUCACGCACUAGCAGUAUCAAUUUACAGGACCAGAAUUGGAUUCAAAAGCUGUAAAACUAUAACGUCUCUCUCUCUCUCUCUCUAGCUUCUCUCUUUAGAAUAAUAAAUUA
rnacentral:misc_RNA from 1 species